UACGUAGGGGGCAAGCGUUGUCCGGAAUCAUUGGGCGUAAAGCGCGUGUAGGCGGCUCGGUAAGUCCGCUCUGAAAGCCCGGGGCUCAACCCCGGGAGGCGGGUGGAUACUGCUGAGCUCGAGUCCGGAAGAGGAGUGUGGAAUUCCGUGGUGUAGCGGUGAAAUGCGCAGAUAUCAGGAGGAACACCAAGUGGCGAAGGCAGCACUCUGG
rnacentral:rRNA from 1 species